rnacentral:rRNA from 1 species
UCAGCAGUCAAGAAUAUUAGUCAAUGCUCGAAAGAGUGAACUAGCUAACUGAAUCAAUUAUAAUAAUUGAUAACAUAAGGGAAAAAGAAUGAUAUUACCUUAUUAUUAGUGUCGUCCAAAUCUGGUGCCAGAAGACUCGGUAAGGCCAGAGACACGAACGUUAAUCGUCUUAAUCAGGCGUAAAGGGUUUGUAGGCGGCUUUAAAAUUUAUUUAUAUUAAUAUUAUAAAAUAAAAAAUAAAAGCUAGAAUCAAAAAGAGGAUAUAUUAAAGAAUGCUUAGAGUAGGUCUGAUAUCCUUAGAUACUAAGUAGAAUAUUAAAGGCGAAAGCUUUUUUCCAUUAAUGAUUGACGCUCAGAAACGAAGGUGAGGAUAGGAAAUAGGAUUAGAUACCCAAAAUACCCCUCUCUGUCAACGAUGAAUGGUAAUUAUUAGUAAAAAUUUUAUUAAUGAUAAUGUUAACACGAUAACCAUUCCGCCUUGUGAGUACAACUGCAAAGUUGAAAACAAAAAAAUUAGUCGGUUUCGGAGCAAACGAAGUGAAGCAUGUUAUUUAAUUCGAUAAUCCGCGACUGAGAAAAAUCUUAUGAAAUUUACCGGUACGGUUAACAUCGAAGUCGGGAUGCUGCUCAUUCUGAAAUGAUUUUGUAUGCGUCUGUUGCCGUUCG